ACCAAGAUGGGCUCAGUUAAACCUGCCUGUAUGAUUUAGUGCAGAUGGAUUUCUCACUUAUUUUCUUGGUGACCCUCUUGUUUUUAAUUGAAGGGUCCUGUGGAGAUAUCAUCAUGACUCAGUCUCCCUCAAGUCUGUCUGCACGACCAGGAGAAACUGUCAGCAUGAACUGUAAAGCCAGCAGUUCCCUCACUAGUGGCAGCUAUAACUACCUGGCCUGGUAUCAGCAGAAAGCAGGAGAAGCUCCAAAACUCUUGAUUUAUUAUGCAAGCACUCUGCAGUCUGGGAUCUCAAGUCGUUUCAGUGGCAGUGGCUCAGGACUUGAUUAUACGCUGACCAUCAGUAACGUGCAGCCUGAAGAUGCAGGACAUUACUACUGUAAGCAGGGCCGCAGUACUCCUCUCGCACAGUGAUACAGAGCCGUACAAAAACUUCCUUUACAUGUUGAUGCAGCUGCCAAUC